CAAUAGCGUAUAUUAAAGUUGUUGCGGUUAAAAAGCUCGUAGUUGGAUUUCUGCUGAGAACGACCGGUCCGCCCUUUGGGUGUGUAUCUGGCUCUUUCUUGGCAUCUUCUUGGUGAACGUUGCUGCACUUGACUGUGUGGAGCGCUACCCAGGACUUUUACUUUGAGGAAAUUAGAGUGUUUCAAGCAGGCAUACGCCUUGAAUACAUUAGCAUGGAAUAAUAAGAUAGGACCUCGGUUCUAUUUUGUUGGUUUCUAGAGCUGAGGUAAUGAUUAAUAGGGAUAGUUGGGGGCAUUCGUAUUUAACUGUCAGAGGUGAAAUUCUUGGAUUCGUUAAAGACGGACUACUGCGAAAGCAUUUGCCAAGGAUGUUUUCAUUAA
rnacentral:rRNA from 1 species